rnacentral:tRNA from 5 species
GCCCCGGUAGUGUAGUGGCCUAUCAUGAAGCCCUGUCGAGGCUUCGACUUGGGUUCGAAUCCCAGCCGGGGCG